UAUAAAUACACAUGACAUUACAAGACUUUCAAACAAGCGGGCAGCAGGAUACAAGUAUAUCACACACGAACAGAUUGCAAGCCUGAACUAGUACUCUCUAUUGACUCAUGGGAUGGGAUACACAACCACCUUUCCGGCAGCUCUGGAGGUUUCAAGAUAGGCAAAUGCUUCAACAGUCUUCGAAAAUGGAUACGGGCCUGUGGGAUCAAGCACCGGCUUCACCUUCCCACUCUCCAAGUAAGGCUUCAGUUUCUCUAAUAUAGUUCCGGUUGAAGUCAGUAUAAAUAUGAUUGCCGGUGGCGUUACUGGACCUACGAUUGUCACAACCUUCCCGCCUUCCUUCACCGCCUUCAAUGCCCUGUCACUCUGCCCUGUUUUUGUUAAUUUCAAAAACACAGAACAACAUCAGUCAUUGUGCUUGAUUUGUAUAAGAAAAAAACAACGAUGAAGACUCAAGAAUUAUACCAACUGCAUCAUAAACCACAUCGAAUUUCUCGGGCAGGUCUUCGAAGUUCUCCUUGGUGUAAUCAAUAGCCAAAUCAGCACCCAAGCUUCUCAAAGGAUCGAGUUUUUUCGUGCUCGCUGUAGCUGCUACUUUUGAAGCGCCAAACAUAUGCUUUGCUAGCUGCCUCACAUAAACACAUUGAGUGUCAUGAAUAAUUAAUCAAUCAGCUUUACUUAAUUAGAGCCUAACUUAAUGGAAAAUGUUUGCACUUGAUUAACAUUGUACCUGAAUAACAUGUGUUCCGACUCCCCCAGCGCCUCCCAAAACAAGGAUGGAUUUACCGGCAGAGAAUUCAACUCGUUCGAGCCCUUCAUAGGCAGUCUCAAUGGCCAGGGGAAGGCUAGCAGCUUCAACAAAACUCAGAUUUUUUGGCUUGAGAGCUAACACUCUUUCUUCUGCAGCAGUGUACUCGGCCAAAGAUCCGAUCUUUUUCGGCUUAUCGAGAGCCUUCUCGUUGAGAUCCCCAUAUACUUCAUCCCCCACCUUAAACUUUGUCACCCGGCUUCCUACUUUCACCACCACACCAGCAACAUCAUAACCUGGAACUGUCUGCAAACAAGUUAAUUUAAUAAAAUUAAUAUUUUAGCAAACAAGCUAAUUGGUUUACACUAGAAUUUGAAGAUCAACUUUGAUUCUUCAAAACAAGUUUCUUGUUAUUUCUUAACCUUUCAAUUUUUAUUUUUUUUACAAGAUGAUAAUUUAAACUAAUCUACGUGUGUGGGGAUUCAAACUUGGAUGUCAUCAUCUAAAAGGAACGAGCACAUUGCUUUGGCCAACUGACGUAAAAUGCCUAUGUAAAGAGGAAUAAGCACACUGCUCUAGCCAAUUGACUUAAUACGCGUCUAAAAAAAAUUAUUCUAACAAAAAGAUCAACUAGAUCAGCUUUGAUUCUUCAAAUAGAUUUAACUAAAUUAUAAGUUGGUAAAGACUAAAACUUUUCUAAAUCCCCCUACUCACAAACUAAUCUUGCAUUUGACUUCAGUGAAAAAAAUGAAGAGAGAGAGAGAGAGAGGCUACAGGGGGUGAAGAGUCAGAGUCCUUGAAGUAGCCAAGCAUCCUUUUGAAAUCAACUGGGUUGAGAGAUGCAGCAACCACCUUGAUCAGCACCUGGUCUUCCUUUAUUUCAGGAACAGGAACAUUCGGAUCGAACUUCAAAACAUCUGCAGACUUUCCGUACUCUGAGUACACCCACGCCUUGUUUACAGAUGGUAUGGAAACUGAAUCACUUGAAGCUACAGCAGCCGCCAUUGAUGCACUGCAAAAACCACAAGAACUUGCAAAGGGAAAGGGAAAAGGUUUGUUGUUGUUGUUGUUGUUGUGAGCAAAUCAGUGAGAUAAGAUCACAGGCUGAUAUCUCGACAGCGUGUCGUUUGUAGGGUGAAUGAGAGGGAUGUGGAACCUUGGUGUUUGCCUAAGUGGCCCUACAAGGAAAAACUCCAAAUGAUGCAUCUAGACGCACUGUUAGUUAGGUUUUUUGUGUGGGACAACAUGCCAAAUUAUGCAUGUAGACGCAUCGUAAUUGGAGGUUUCAUUUUGUGCGGCAACAUGUUAUAAAAUUCGUGUUCUGUUUCUAUUAGUCUAAUCUGACAUCAAAGACACCCCUGGAUCGUAAUGCUAGCGUCGAAGUUUUCUUCCUUAUUUAUCCUUAUCCUUAUCACAAGUUAUCUUCCUUCUUGUUGACACCUCCAACAAGAAAUAUAAGAAGAAAAAACCCUACACUUUCUAAGUUACUUGGCUCAUCUGUAUGUAAGUGCUUACGUAAGAAAUAUUUAUUUAUAACUUUAUGUAGGUUAUUAUUAAUUUUUUUUAACAAACAAUAAUAUAUAUACUAAAGGGGUGAGAAAGUGGGCUAAACCUCACAAUAGGCUAGUAAUAAUGUGAUUCAAAUUAAUAGAGGUACUGUUAAAAAAUAUUAUUUAUUAAAUUAUUAGAGGUAAUGUUAAAAAAUAUUAUUAACUGACGUGUUUAUCUUUAAUGAAUGUUGUAUUUUCUAAAUAGGAUUUCUGACAAGGACAAUAUGAAAAUACAAAAAAGUUUCAUGCCAAGAAGUUGUAAACAUGCUUAAGAAAUUAGAAACAUUUUGGCUUCAAUAAGAAGGUGUCAUGUUGACAGAGUAUUAUGUACUUGCAAGUUCAAAGACGUAGUAUCAACUCUAAAAACUAAAGCAUUGCCUCAGUCAAUUUUAGAUAAAUAUUUUAGCUCAUCUUAAAAUUUUAUUUAUGGUAUUGCAUAUUUUUGUACUCAAACAACUUUAGAGAAUUAUUUUAGUUUCCUUAAGAAGAGACUAAGAAAAAUUAUAACUUAUUAAAAUGUGGAGUUCCUCUUCGCUUAGAAGUGAGAGGUCUUAGGUUCGAAUAUCGUGAAUGACGAAUUCGAUACGAAACUAGGUUGCCCAUUGUGUGGCUUAGCCGAACUCUCCCUCUCCUAAUGUAAAAAUAUCGAUGUACUAAAAAAAUGUGGAGAUUAUUCCUAUGCAUAACUGGUCUUUUAAGUUAAGACCAGAAUCUUUUAUGACUUGAGGUUAUUCCUUUACGGAGUAUUACUUAAAGAGGUUUUACCGUAGUUUAGGCAUUUUUUAUGAAAGCGCUUUCAUUAAAAACAAGGGAGUUUUAAUGAAAAGGGCUUGGUACUAUUCAUUCUUAACCAUAAGGACAUUUUAUGUAUGAAAAGUCUAUAAUAGAUCAAACUCUUCUCUUUAUUUACUCUUAUGCCAUUACAUGCGGACCACAACGAUGUUGACAUUUCUGUCUGGAAAUACAUUAUGAUGCUAUUCAUCUUAUGCUAAUUUACAACUAGUUCUUCAGGCUUCCAUCAUGUUGUCGAUGUUAUGCAGCUCUUCUUCUGACAAAUUAUUCCAAUACUGUUCAUCGCCUUCUACUAGCUCCGCAUCUCUUUCUCUAUCUUCUUUCACCUUGUAAUAUAUUUCCGCUGUUUCUUCUUUGAAAUUUUGGGGCUUCCAAUAAGGCUGAUGACUGAUUCUUGUCUUGCUGUAAAUAUACAUCUCUUCUUCUUCUGCUACUAGUACCAUAUCAUACCUAAAAUCUUCAAACUCAUCUAAAGCAAACAUUUGGAUCCCUCUAAAUUUUAAAAUAUCUUUGUAUGAAGGAGUCCACCUAUGUGAGGAGAUAGGGUUUAGUCUAAAGGACUCUUCAUUGAUCAUGGCUAUAUGCCUAGCUUUCUCCUUAUGCAUGUGUACAUACCAAUCUGGAGGACUACUAAUAAAACUUAUGCAAAUUUCUUUCCACCUUUCUAGAUAGUCUUCUUCUACUUUAAUAAGCUUUUCAGGAAAAGAUUCUAGUUGAGAAAUACGGUUAAUAAAUAUUUUAUCCAGAUAACCAAACUCUAAUAGUAAGGCAGGGGUGACUUCUACCUCAUUAUGCUUUUUCUGAUGCUCAUAACUAAAAUGCCAUGAUUUAAAAUCUCUCAUGUCAAUCCUGGCCACAGCUACGCUAACUUCUGGUUUACAAAUACAAUUCUCUGUACUAUCACAAAGACAUGGAUGAUACAUCUUUGUAAUAAUAUCCAUCCCUGGUUUUGGAUCAAAGAUGGACUGAUACAAGGAGCAUUGUAAUUGUAAUUGUAACUCUUUCAUGGACUGUGAUGCUCUGCUCAGGAUCUCAUUUUGCAUAUCUGUUGGCAUUAUUCUUAGUUUUGCUUUUGAAAUUUCUUCUAAUAAAACAUCGUCUAAUACUAAGCCUGAAGAUAUAUUUCUAAGAAAACUUUCAUAUUUUUCUUGUUUUUCUUUGUCACUCAGAACCUGAUGCUGAUCAUUACUUUGAUGUUGCUCCAUUUCAACGUCUUCUUCUAAGAGCUCAAUCUUAAUUUCCUCUAUGGGUUCAUUAGCCUCUUGUUCUAUGGGUUCAAUAACCUCUUUUCCUUUAUGCUGAUCAAUUUCUAAACCUAUUUUUAAUUCUCUUUUCAAGGUGUCACUUGCCUUUUGCUGCAUUCUAAGAGAUUGGAGUUCUUGGUUCAUUUUGGUAAACUUACCAAGUAAUGACUCAUGGUCCCUAGAAAUGGCUUGAAGAUUGUGCUCAAGAGAAUAAAUAUGCUGCUGGUUUUGGUGGAAAUUAAAAUUAAAGCUAUCAAACUCUUGUUCCAAGGCUCUAAUUAAUUUUUCAUGACCUAACCUCAUGCUUGGCUGCUUAAUUUGGAUAUUCCAGAAAUUAUCUAAGAGAACCUGCUGCCUAUCAGAAAGCCCCGGUACCCUUGACCUGUAUCUCAGAGUUGGAUUUCUGAUUCCUUCAACAAUAUUGCCAUUAAAGUUGAACGUGGGUACUAGUGGUGAUGCUGGUCUGCUCAUGCUAUUUUGAAAUCCACUGAAUGGUGGAGGUUGAUGGUGCAUCCUCAUGCCAUUGAAAGAAACUCUUCUGCCUUGCGGCCUUGUGCUAUUUGCUGAUGAUGGUCCACGAUAUUCCAUACCUGUUCAACAAAUUAAUCUUGAUAAGAUAUCAGCUAAUGUAUUGUCAUUACCUUUUAUAUGUUCAAAAAUUGGUUUAAAACCAUUUCCUGUAAUUGAAUUAACAAAAUUAACCCAUCUUCGGGCUGCCUGUUUAUUAGCAUGUAUCUUGUUGUAAUGAGAAACUAUAUUUUGACAAUCUGUUCUAAUCGUAAAUACUUCAUUAUGUAAAAAUAAAGAAAAUGUUUCAAGUGAAUUAAUUAUCCCUAAAAUUUCUAAAUCUGUUGAUGGUAAUCUUGACUGUACAUCACUAAACUUUCCUGAGGAAUAUCUACAAACUUGUUCGUCAGACUUUGGAGACUCCCUAUGCUUUUUCUGGUAUAGUAUACCUGCCCAUCCUAAUGAUGAAGCAUCUGUUUCGACUAUCUUAUAACUAUCAUCUAAUGGUAAUGUUAAUGGCUUAAGUUUAGUAAUUUCUUCUUUUAUUUUUUGAACUAAUUUAAUAUCUUCACUAUUAAAAUAUUUUUGUCCCGUUUUGCUAGUUUUACUAUGUAAUACUGCUAUUUUUCUUCCUAAAUCAGGGAUAAAAUUUCUUGCAUAAUUUAGCAAUCCUAAAAAUGCUUGUAACUGUUUCUUAUCUUCUAAUUUGUUUGGAAAUUCUAAUACCUUUUUAGCUAUAUGAUCUUGUAAUUGUAUCGUACCUGACUUGAUAUACAUUCCUAAAAAUUCUAUAUCUUGCUUUUCUAAUGCUAUUUUAUUUUUGCUAAUCACAAUCCCAUUAUUAAUAAAUUCUUGUAAAACUAUCUCUAAAUGCUUCCUAUGUUCAUUUCGAUUUUUACUAUGUAUUAAAAUAUCAUCUACAUAAACACUACAAAAAUUAUCAUAUUUCUUGAAAAUUGGAUCCAUCUUUCUUUGAAAGAUCGAUGGAGCAUUUUUAAGUCCAAAUGACAUAACAAGCCACUCAAAAUGUCCUUCUGGACAAGUAAAAGCUGUCCACCCAAUUGAUUCUUCUGCUAAUCGUAUUUGCCAAAAUCCUGAUUUACAAUCAAAUUUACUAAAAUAUUUACUUUGUUGAAUUUUAUUUAUAAGUUCAUCUUUAUUUGGUAACUUAUAACUAUCUUCAUAUGUAUUAUCAUUUAAUCUCUUAUAAUUAUAAACUAUUCUAGCCUUUCCUCUUUUUAGCUCUGAAUGUUUUCUUACUACAAAUGCUGCUGAUCUGUGUCUGGACUUAGAGGGUCUAAUUACUUUUAAAUUUAACAACUCUUUUAUUUGCUGCUCAAACUCUUGUUUAUCUAUUAGACUACAAGGCAUAUCAGCUGUCUUAAUGGUUAAAUCUGGGUUAAUUAUAUCUAAUUUUGCUAGUAUUUUAUUUUUACUCCAAUGUAAUUGUGGGUCUUCUCCUAUAAUCCUAGUUUGUUCUGCUAAUUGUAACAAUUCUUCUAAACUCUUUGGUCUGUCUAACUGUAAGAUUUCUAUACGGAUUCCUUCAUCUAUAAUUGGAUAUUCGUGUUCAAAUAUUUCUUCAUCAAACUCAAACUCUUUUAGAUUAUUAUGCUCAUCAUUUUCUUUUGAAUUUUCCAAAUAAUAAUUGUCUUGACUACUAGAUUCUUCUAUACUUAUACUUUUGUAUGCUUCUAUGUUAUUACUUUGGUCAGUUAUUGUAAUUCAUCUUUUGAAAAAUGUUAUGCUAGGGUUCAUAAAUAAAAAACCUUGUAAACUUUUCAAAAAGUUUAAACCUAGAAUGAAUGGGUAUGAUCCUACUGGUGAGACAAAUGUUAAUGGUAGGUUAAAUUGUUGUUUUUCCACUUUAAUGGACUCAUUAUUAAUGCAAUGUGUUAAAUAGACUGGUCUUUCAUCAAACUGCGUUAUUUUCACUGGUUUUGCUAAUUUUUGUCUAUACUUUUCUGGUACUAACUCCUCUCUUAUGACACUCUUAGUACUUCCUGUAUCUAUCAUAGCUGUUGUUUGUAUCUUAUGUUCUUUUGCCAAUUCUAUUUCACAAUUUAUGGUAAUUAAAGAACUAUUUUUUGGCUUUUCUAUACUAUAAACAGCAUUUCUUAAUAUUUCAGUACUUUCUUGUGAUUCUGCUAAAUUAAUUUCUAAUAACUUAUUAUUAUAACAAUUUUCACACAAUAUUGAAUAUGUAUUAUAGUAUUUAUUUGCAACUAAUUUACUACACUUAUGACAUUUUUCUGGCCAACCUAAAUUAAUGUAUUUAUAUUCUUCUUCAUGCUGUUCUUCUAUGAAGGCACACAUACUCUUCUAAAUCACUAUUUGUGCUACUUGAAUCUUCUGAGUCUGAAUCUAUCAUGUUAAUACUCUCUAUACUAUAAAUACUCUCAUUAUCACUUAAAUUAUCUAAACUGUAUAUUGACUGAAUAUCCUCAUCUUCUUCUAACUUAAGUAACUCCAUCAAAUGUACUUUCUCUUUUGACUGUUUACCUAGUUUUGGACAUUUAGGUCUAAUAUGUCCAGCUUCUCCACAUGAAUAACAUUUACAAUUACUCUUAUCUUUUGGUGCUUUAUAUUUUUUUCUAAUCCAAGGUCUGCCACUUCUUUUUCUAAAUUGUUUUGGAAUAUAUUUUCUCUUCCUGUAUGUUCUUGAAGGUCUUAUACUGAAAUUCUUAUACUGUUUGUAGGGUUUAUAUGACUUAUAUUUCUUUUUGUGUAUUUUCUUAUGCUUAUUUUUCUUAUGACAACCAUACUGUUGUGGUAAAUCUAUGUUUUUACAACUCAUGUAAAAUUGUUUCCUAAUUUGUCUCUUAGCUUUUAUUUGACUACACUCUUGUCUAAGUAUAUCGUAUACAUGUUGAAUUCUAAGUCCUAUUGCAAUAUCAUUUUUCUUUGGAUGCUUUUGCCAUUCAUUCCAAAUCUUUUCUCCUAUUGGUCCUUUUAUUUUUGUCAUAUAAGUAUCUAAUAAAUUAAUAUCACUAAUUCUACCUGUUCUACCUAAAUAUUUAAAGAAAUCAGUGGUAUAUUCAGCUAUAUAUUGUAAAUCACAAAUUUGUAGUUGUUCUAAAUUUCUAAUUGCUCUUUUCUGCUCUUGUUCACUUCUGCCAUCUAAUCUAUUAUGAUCUAAAAAUUCUUGUUUAAUCAAAGUAAAAAAACCAUCAAUAUUAAAAUGUGUUUUAGCUGCCUGAUGCUGUUCUGGAUUUUGGACUUUCCAUGACUGGAAAUAAUCAAAAACUAAACCAUCUAAAGUAUGCUCAAAAUAAUCUAGCAUAUUUUGUGAAUUACUAAAAUCUAACAUCAAUGCUGCAUGUACGCAACCUUUUUCCCAUCUUUCAAUUGUUCUCUCCCAAUCUUGUGGAUCUACAUUGUCUAAGUUUAAUAUAUUACCAGCUAUAUUAAUUUGUUCUAACCCUCUCAAAUAUGGAAUCCUAUUUUUUCUAGGUUUUAUCAUGCUUUCUUCUAUGUGGUCUACUCUUGCUCCUUCAUUAUAAUGUUCAUUUGUUGGUCUCAAAAAUUGUUGAUCAGUUCUACUUGCUUGUCCUGGAUUUUCUACUCCUGAUGUACUACUUUCUUCUGCUGGAUUACAUUCUUCUUUUAAUUCUAAUAAAUUAUUAUAUUCUUUUGAUCCUAAAAUAUGUUCUACUCCUAUUUCUAAGAUUAAAUUUUUCAUCUCCUCAUCUGAAAUUUUAUGUAGUCCUAAAUCAUAUGUCUUAUAUUUUUCUAAAUACUUUUCUUCAUCUAAAUGAUCAAUAUCUUCUAUAAGCUUGUCUACAAUAUGAUCAAAGUUUUGCUCAACUAAAUUAAUAUCUAGAUUAUCAAAAGCCAUAUGUAUAUUCUCAUUUUCGAUCUCACUCUCAUCCUCUUCUAUUUUUUCUAGUUGUUUAUAAUUACUAAACCUAAUUGUUGCUUGACCUGUACUAGUUUCAUAUAUUUGUACUUUAUCUGGUUGUCUAUUUUGUGCUACUUGUAAAUUGGGCAAUGUCCACUGAGUUCCUUCUAAAAAGCUAUUAUCUACGGGUUUUGCUUCUAUCAUAUUUACAUGCUUACUGCCAAAUGUUUGAACUAAAUUUUGAAACUCUAAAUUAAACUUAUGAUUAUAUCUAUCAGACACUUUACCUAUAUACAUUAAGCUAAUACACAAAUUUUUAUAUUCUCCUUUCAUAUUAUAAUUUUUUGUUCUUAUGCUCACUUUAAUAUAUUUACUAAAUUCAUUAAUCGUCAUAACAUAAUUUGGAAUGCAACCUAUGACUGCUAAGUUUGAACUUAAGUCUACUUCAGCUGUUGCUAUUGCUGCUUGUUGGUGAUUAUCCCAUCUAUCAUCAUAUAUGUAUACUAAAGCCUUUGUACCUACUUGUGCUCUGGUUAAUCCUGCUAUUCCAAUUAAUAUUGUUCCUAUAUGAAUCUGACUAAAAUGUGAUUUUCUCAAAUGAGUAACUGCUUCUUUACUAAUUAGAUUAAGUGUGACUUCUUUAUCAAUACAACUAACUUCAUGUUGACUGAUGCUGCUUACAAUUCUACUUCUGUUUUCAAAUAAACCUAGUUGAUACAAGUUAUAUUUAUUUUUCUGUGUUCUCUCAAAACCUCUUCGAAUAAAUUAUUGUGCUUCUUCUUCAUUUGGAUAAAUAUCUUCCGCUCUAACUACUUCUUUUCCUUUUUUUCCUAAAGAGUUCCAUUUUCUAUUAUCAAAAGGAUUUAGCUUAGGUCUUCUAUUAUUAUUUGCACUCAAAGUUAAAUUUUCUAAUUUAUCUAGCAAGGAUGGUGGAAGUGAUGAAGAUGCGUUAUGUAAAACUUGGUUUAUUUCUGCUAUUUGUUCUUCAACUUGAUCUAAUUUUUCAGCUAGACUUAAAACUAAUUGGAUAAUCAAAUUAUUUUGCCUAAUGGGAAUAUUACUACUGGAUACUUGUGUUGAAAAAUCUGUUAAUCCUACUGGUUCUUUAUCUAAUUUACUAAUUUCUUUCAAAGCUUGAAUAUAUUUUCUGCUAGUUCUAGAAUCUGUCAUUAAACUAAUAAUUUGUCUAUUUUAUUAUGCAACUUAUCUACUUGUUCUCUCAACUCCUUUUGUACGAAUUGAAUUUUUUUUGAACUUCUAAUUUUAGUUGUUCAACUAUUUCUAAUGACCUAAGUUCUACUUGCUUUGGCUUACUAUCUAUGAGGUCAACAAGCUCUUUUAUCUCUCUUUUGCUAGGAAACCUUUGAAUAUUUUUAUUAUUAUCUUCUAACUGAGAUGUAAUAUAAUCUAAAUUUUGUCUAAUUAUCUUUAUGGAAUUUUUCUGAAAAUGUUCUAACAACUGGUUUAACAAAUGAUUAUGCUUAUUAGUUUCUAAUUUUAUAUUUUCUGCUUGACUAAUAAUAAGAUCUAUAAUACUAUUGGCUUGCGGAUUUUCUUCACUGUGCAAAAUAUGAUUAUGCUUUCUUGAUGGAAAAUAACAAACUAAACUAUUUUGGUCUAAGGUUAUUUUUCUUUUUUGGGGUUCACUAAUUUCUAAAUUAAGAUAAUCUAUCAUAUACUAUAGUCUACCUUUCUCUAAAGUUACAGCUAAUUGGUUUCUUAGAACCUCUCUUUCUUCUCUCAGGGUCUCUAAAACUUGGUCAGUUACUCUUUUUGCUUCUAAAACUUUAUGCUGCACUUCAGUGUUAUUAUAUUUACUAAUAAAUGAAGGAUGUUCAAGAUAACCAAGAUAAAACUUUUGCUUCUUCAAGGUCCUGCUAAUUCUUUUGGAUAUAAAUGAUAAUCUUCUCUUUAUGCUAUUUAUAGUUGGAUGUCUAGGACAAUAAAUACCUGGUAAUUGUGGUUGACAAGGUCUACAGGGACAAUAAUAUAUGUUAUUCAUACAAAAUAAACAAGUGUGAUAUCAGUUGCUUUAAUGACUUCCGUCCUCAAGGUACUUUACUAUUAUAAUCAUAUUAUUAAAAUGCUAAACUUGGCUCUGAUACCAAAUUCGAAAAGCAUGCACGGUUAAAUAGUCAGAUGACCAUUAUAACAACUAGACAUAGAACCUUGCACAUGGAACUCGACAUGUUUCAGCAUGACGGCCACUCACAGUACAAGUAUAAGGCCUUAACGGUUGAACUCAGAGGUACAAAGAACUCAGAGGUACCCUGGUUAAUGUCUAGUUAUUUGUAUGGCAAGUAUUCAACUAUAACAGAGUGCUCGAACAAAGUAUGAUCGUCAGUUUAGCAGAUUAAUAAUAUAAUCACAAUAGUGUUUCCCUGUUUUGGACUAGAAGUCUAAUUAAACAAACACACUAAAGAAGGAAAAGAAAACUUACUUAAGACUUGAAGAUUGCUUGAAUAUGUACACUUGAACUUUUAUUGAUAUAUGGAAUGUUUACAGAGAUGGUUGUUUACAAGAAAGUGAUUACAAAGAAGUGUUUACAAGGAUGCUAUGAAGACUACGAAUGCUUGAGUGUAUGGUGUUUUCAGAUAUUGAGAUAUGUGUGUGGUAUUCAGGUGUGUUCUAUAUGGGAGGAAAGACUCCCUUAUACAAAAGCUGAUUCCUAAACAACAAAAUAAUUUUUUCAAUAUUUACAACUUUUUGAUGGUGACAACACACUGUUUCUGAAAGCUGUCAGCACUGUUUCUGAAAGCUGUUGAAGGCCACGUGAAUCCAUAUUGUCUUGGUUGCUGCAAAGUUUGCCACCUUAUCUUUGACAUGCAAAAUUUUUCUGAAAUUGCUGAGCAAUCUUGUAUGGAUGUGUGAAGGGCAUGAUUGGCAUUUUUGCUAAGUUUUGUCCUGAUGAUUAAAGUGAAACUUUUGAGGGUGUUUUGGUUAGUUUUCCAUAAAAACAAACCAAAGUUUUUAUUAUAAACCCAAUUGCACUUUUAUAGUUGAUGAAGGGAGAAUGUUGUGCAGGCAUUGUCACUUGAGGUUCAAUGGGUGAGAACAAGUUACGCAACUCAAGUUUUGUUUCUUAUUUUUCACGACUAAGGCUUGCAAUUGAAGUUAACUUUCUUACUUAUCACACCUACAACAAUAAAAAACAAGACGAAGAUAAAAAAACACCUGUACUUUUGAAGUUGACCUAGUUCAAAUGGAAGUGCUAUAUAUAAGAGGGAAUACAUCUGCUCUAACCAAUACCCGUGUUAAUUAAAGCGGAAAAACACAGCAAUGAGCAAGUAGGAAGAAAACACAGUGAAAACUAGCCAAACUCGAAGCACUAUAUUAAUAGAUAUGAUUGCGCCGCCCUUAUUACAAGUCUUUUUAAACAGCAGGCAGCAGGAUACAAGUAUAUAUCACACACAAACAGAUUGCAUGGCUGAACUAGUACUCUCUAUGAUUUCAUGGAAUGGGAUACACAACCACCUUUCCGGUAGCUCUGGAGGUUUCAAGAUAGGCAAAUGCUUCAACGGUCUUCGAAAAUGGAUACGGGCCGGUGGGAUCAAGCACCGGCCUCACCUUCCCACUCUCCAAGUAAGGCUUCAGUUUCUCUAAUACAGUUCCGGUUGAAGUCAGCAUAAAAAGGAAUGCCGG
rnacentral:lncRNA from 1 species